UACGGGAGGCAGCAGUGGGGAAUAUUGCACAAUGGGCGAAAGCCUGAUGCAGCUAUGCCGCGUGUAUGAAGAAGGCCUUAGGGUUGUAAAGUACUUUCAUCGGGGAGGAAAAACAAAACUAAUAAUUUUAUUUCUUGACGUUACCCGAAAAAGAAGCACCGGCUAACUCCGUGCCAGCAGCCGCGGUAAUACGGAGGGUGCUAGCGUUAAUCAGAAUUACUGGGCGUAAAGAGCACGUAGGUGGUUUUUUUAAAGUCAGAUGUGAAAUCCCUGGGCUUAACCUAGGAACUGCAUUUUGAAACUGAAAUACUAGAGUAUCGUAGAGGGAGGUAGAAUUCUAGGUGUAGCGGUUGAAAUGCGUAGAUAUCUGGAGGAAUACCUGUGGCGAAAGCGGCCUCCUAAACGAAUACUGACACUGAGGGUGCGAAAGCGUGGGGAGCAAACAGGGAUUAGAUACCCGU
rnacentral:rRNA from 1 species